rnacentral:rRNA from 1 species
UGGGGAAUAUUGCACAAUGGGGGAAACCCUGAUGCAGCGACGCCGCGUGAGCGAAGAAGGUUUUCGAAUCGUAAAGCUCUGUCCUAUGAGAAGAUAAUGACGGUAUCAUAGGAGGAAGCCCCGGCUAAAUACGUGCCAGCAGCCGCGGUAAUACGUAUGGGGCGAGCGUUGUCCGGAAUUAUUGGGCGUAAAGGGUACGUAGGCGGUCUAUUAAGUCAGGUGUGAAAGCGUGAGGCUUAACCUCAUUAAGCACUUGAAACUGAUAGACUUGAGUGAAGGAGAGGAAAGUGGAAUUCCGAGUGUAGCGGUGAAAUGCGUAGAUAUUAGGAGGAAUACCGGUGGCGAAGGCGACUUUCUGGACUUUUACUGACGCUCAGGUACGAAAGCGUGGGGAGCAAACAGG